rfam:Alphaproteobacteria bacterium 64-6 SCNpilot_expt_1000_bf_scaffold_9099, whole genome shotgun sequence.
GCGGGCGUAGCUCAGUUGGUUAGAGCGCCGGCCUGUCACGCCGGAGGCCGCGGGUUCAAGUCCCGUCGCUCGCG